CCGAGUUUACAACUCCCAAACCCAAUGUGAACGUUACCAAACUGUUGCCUCGGCGGGGUCACGCCCCGGGUGCGUUAAAAGCCCCGGAACCAGGCGCCCGCCGGAGGAACCAACCAAACUCUUUCUGUAGUCCCCUCGCGGACGUAUUUCUUACAGCUCUGAGCAAAAAUUCAAAAUGAAUCA
rnacentral:misc_RNA from 1 species